rnacentral:lncRNA from 1 species
GUUCACGAGGCAUUCUCAUAAUUAGACACUAGAAAACUUGUAAAAGCCUAUGUUUCCAGUACUUAAGUGUUGCCGAAUAAGACGCUGCUGCGUCAAAUUCUUGGUCAUCAGAAGUGCCUGCAUAUACAUCAGAUCAAAUUAAUGUGCUCAAAUUAAUGUGCUGUUAAAAUCUACCGAGUAACCAACAAAUCUCAUAUUGGGUUGAAAAAAAGAAGGCUAAAACAUAUUGAUAACUACUUGUUCUCUAUCCCAAAACUGACCAGUAAACACUCCCAACUCCUCCAUUCCCUAAAUUGCUGUCAUAAUUGAAGUUGUUUGUUGCUGUAAGUUCCUUCCAAGGUAAAGAGCAUCCAUGUUGGCUGCUUUUUUUCUUUUUCUUUUUUUCUUGUUUUUAC